rnacentral:rRNA from 1 species
UAAUACGUAGGGGGCCAGCGUUGCUCGGAAUUACUGGGCGUAAAGGGUUCGUAGGUGGUGCGGUAAGUUGGGAGUGAAAUCUCUGGGCUUAACUCAGGGGCUGCUUUCAAAACUGCCGUGCUCGAGUGCGAGAGAGGCCAGUGGAAUUGCAGGUGUAGCGGUGAAAUGCGUAGAUAUCUGCAGGAACACCCGUGGCGAAGGCGGCUGGCUGGAUCGCAACUGACACUGAGGAACGAAAGCUAGGGGAGCAAACAGGAUUAGAUACCCUGGUAGUCCUAGCCCUAAACCAUCAGGACUUGGGGUGGCCCGCGUAGGCGGGUCGUCCCGUAGCUAACGCGUUAAGUCCUGCGCCUGGGGAGUACGGUCGCAAGACUGAAACUCAAAGGAAUUGACGGGGGCCCGCACAAGCGGUGGAACAUGUGGUUCAAUUCGACGCAACGCGAAGAACCUUACCUGGGCUUGAACCGCUACUGACCAACGGUAGAAAUAUCGUCUUCCCGCAAGGGACAGUAGUAGAGGUGCUGCAUGGCUGUCGUCAGCUCGUGCCGUGAGGUGUUGGGUUAAGUCCCGCAACGAGCGCAACCCUUACUCGUAGUUGCUACCCGCAAGGGAGAACUCUACGAGGACUGCUCCGGAUAACGGAGAGGAAGGUGGGGAUGACGUCAAGUCAGCACGGCCUUUAUGUCCAGGGCUACACACGUGUUACAAUGCACGGUACAGACUGUUGCGAACCCGCGAGGGGGAGCUAAUCGGAUAAAACCGUGCUCAGUUCGGAUUGCAGUCUGCAACUCGGCUGCAUGAAGCUGGAAUCGCUAGUAAUGGCGUAUCAGAUCGACGCCGUGAAUACGUUCCCGGGCCUUGUACACACCGCCCGUCACAUCACGAAAGUGAGCUGUACUAGAAGUCGCGCAGCUAACCGCAAGGAAGCACGCGCCCAAGGUAUGGCCCAUGAUUGGGGUG